rnacentral:rRNA from 1 species
GAUGAACGCUAGCGGCAGGCCUAACACAUGCAAGUCGAGGGGUAGAGGAAGCUUGCUUCCUUGAGACCGGCGCACGGGUGCGUAACGCGUAUGCAAUCUGCCUUGUACUGAGGGAUAGCCCAGAGAAAUUUGGAUUAAUACCUCAUAGCAUUAUGAAAUCGCAUGGUUUUAUAAUUAAAGUUCCAACGGUGCAAGAUGAGCAUGCGUCCCAUUAGUUAGUUGGUAAGGUAACGGCUUACCAAGACGAUGAUGGGUAGGGGUCCUGAGAGGGGGAUCCCCCACACUGGUACUGAGACACGGACCAGACGCCUACGGUAGGCAGCAGUGAGGAAUAUUGGUCAAUGGACGCAAGUCUGAACCAGCCAUGCCGCGUGCAGGAUGAAGCAUCUAUGGUGUGUAAACUGCUUUUGUACGGGAAGAAACACUCCUACGUGUAGGAGCUUGACGGUACCGUAAGAAUAAGGAUCGGCUAACUCCGUGCCAGCAGCCGCAGUAAUAC